AGCAGCUACGUACACUACCACA
rnacentral:miRNA from 1 species